rnacentral:rRNA from 1 species
AUUGAACGCUGGCGGCAGGCCUAACACAUGCAAGUCGAGCGGGGUUUUCGGACCUAGCGGCGGACGGGUGAGUAAUGCGUAUGAAGCUACCCGAUAGAGGGGGAUACCAGUUGGAAACGACUGUUAAUACCGCAUAAUGUCUACGGACCAAAGUGUGGGACCUUCGGGCCACAUGCUAUCGGAUGCGCCUACGUGGGAUUAGCUAGUUGGUGAGGUAAUGGCUCACCAAGGCGACGAUCCCUAGCUGGUUUGGGGGGAUGAUCAGCUACACUGGAACUGAGACACGGUCCAGACUCCUACGGGAGGCAGCAGUGGGGAAUAUUGGACAAUGGGCGCAAGCCUGAUCCAGCCAUGCCGCGUGUGUGAAGAAGGCCUUCGGGUUGUAAAGCACUUUCAGUAGGGAGGAAGCGUUGUGUGUUAAUAGUACACAGCGUUGACGUUACCUACAGAAGAAGCACCGGCUAACUCUGUGCCAGCCGCCGCCGUAAUAC